rnacentral:tRNA from 1 species
GACCUCGUAGCUCAGCUGGUAGAGCAUCUGACUUUUAAUCAGAGGGUCGCGGGUUCGAAUCCCGCCGGGGUCACCA